GUACAUUAUAAAGAUCCAAAUCGAAUACUUAAAGACUGCAGAGUGAGAUUCUUAAGAGUCGGACCAACUUCUGAAAUCUAUAGCAGAUACCGUGAAACGAGAUGCUUACAGCAGCUGUACCACAAUCGUUAAAUCUUCGCUUAUCGUUAAGAUUGGAUUGCACGAAGCUAGGCAGCAUGGUACGAAGAAAUUUCACGGUAUACCAGAUUCUCCACCAUUGAGCACGUUUCACGGGCACCGAUGAAACUUGUUGGCGUGGAAAAUAGGUGGAAGAAAUAAGAAGAAGAAAGCGAAAUGGAGGACAGGAAGCAAGGGUCGUGCGAUUAUACAAUACAGGAUCAAUUGCAACGUGGUAGAGGAGACAGUCUAGUAUUAUGGACUCAACGCCAAAGAUGAUCUUUGUUAAUGAAUGCAUAAUUAAAUUCUGAAAGUUACUACGCUAUGCAUAUACAUGAACGUGAUCGAAGAAGCGAAAAUUUAUUAUACUUUUUAUACGUGUUAAAACGUAUAGAUGUUUCGCAAUUAUCAGAUAAUUUUCUCUUUUCAAAAAUUUACACAAGACUUUCGUUCCAUUGGUGAGAUAUUAGACGAAGAAAAUUAUAUCAAGAUGCGAAGAAUUCCCACGAAAGUGGAUGCACCAGCAUUCCAUGGAGUCUGCUCCAUAAACGGAAUGUUUAAUACGGGUCUGUGGGCAAAACAAGAGGAUCGUCGUUUCGUAGAAUGAACCUUCAUAAAUCAUUCACAGUGAAAGUUGUCGAAUUAAGUAAAAUUAACUUGGUCGAUAAAAUUUCAGAAUUUUCGGUACCAUCCUUCUCACGACGGUAUUAUGGAUUCGUUCUGAAGGGAAAGAAGUACGUUGACGAAGAUUUUAUCGAGCCACGUCCACGAUGCGCAAAGGCGAGGUUCACACGUUUCUAGAAGCUCACCUCGAGCCACGAACUUUCAUCCUGCACGGUGAAAUUAAUCGUAAAAUCGUCCGCACACGAGGCUUCUGUGGUUUCUUCCGAUGCCAAUUAUAAUAAACGUGAUCUUAUUAUAUUAACAAAGAUCAUUUUUUUCAUAGCGCCUUCAGCAAUUUGAAAAAAGACAACUCAUAGCCAUCUCCGAUUGAAGAUAUAUCAAAUGACAGAUACUAAGAAAUGGAGUUGUACGGAUCAUUGAUCAUAGAAUUUUUUAGAUCGUAAGAUACAUACAUUAAUUCAUGUAACUGUAAGGAGUACCAUGUCACGCGUCUGUAAAACAAGUCGGUGAAAGAAACUCCUAGCCACAACAUGUUACGCGACAUCUUCGUGACUGGUAAUUGCUAUCGCGCUAAAAUCUGUUACCGUUGUCGAGGUCAUUGAGAACAAACGCAUGAACCUGCCGUGACUACGGAACAUGGUUUCCCUCGAUGCACACGAGAUAUGCAAGCAUCCUUACAAAAUAGAACACCGUAUCCUUCGAAGAUGCAACCUACAAUUAAAUCAACUUUCUGAUAUUAAUUUACAUUUUUUUACAGAGAUAGCACGAGACUUUAGGGAGAGACUGGCUGUCGGCGAACUUUCACACAGGUCGUUGAAAUCACCGAAAAGGAAAAGCGAUUUUCAUUUCUAUCGAUGUAUCGACGGGCCAGGAAUAACAGGCUUCUGUUCGCAAAGUCAAGAGAAAAUUGCGUUCCGUUGACUUAACGAGUUAAGUGUAUACCCGGGUCGAUGGAAAAAUGUUGGUAUCGUUAAACGAAUAGUAUACCUCUGACAUUUGCAAAGAAAGCUGUAUUAGAAGAGGAGCUGGGUAACGGAGUGACACUUAUGAAUGCUCGUGAGCAGGAACAACGAAGUCCACCGUGAUGUUUGCUUUGUCUGCGAUAUGAAAGGGCGGCAGACCUCGUACAAUUGAAUACCAAUGAAAAUUCGCACGGUGUGUCGUUUGGAAAGCAGUCUGAUUUGCUCACAAUGCUCAUCCUCAGGUUUGAUGAAAGAGCAGAUACAAGCUUGAGGAAUCACUUCCGCGUGGACAGACAGCUGUGACACGCCCGUACAGAAGACAGCGUAAACAUCUUUAGAAAGUUUCUAAAUCAGCAAAUGAUAGUAGCCUUCGUUGGUCCAGCAUCUCAUUAAUAUUUCGUAAAGACAUCGAAGGAAUGAAACGAAAAUGUGUUAUGGACAGAGGCGGGCACGUCUGUCUACGCUUUCAGCGUGGGUUUCACUUUCGAAAAUCUUGUUACCUGAAUGAUCAUUUGACACCAUUCGUUCUCUAUAUUUUUGCAUGACAAAUUAUACUCUGCGAUUUGGGAAGAAGUUUCACGCGACCUCAUAUGCUGAUAAGGAGUUAACAUAAUGAUCUUAGGUAUUCUGAAGAACCACCUAUUAACAACUAUGUUACUUUCUUCUGGUGGUUUUAGAAUAAGAAUAGAAUAAUUUCACAACAAUUUCACAGACAAAUUGUGCCUUCGUCAUUCAUGCCGGAAGCAGCUUACAAAAGGAGAUGAAUUAUUUCAGUAACACCUGUUUCAGGAAUAUCUUCAUUGACAAUUGACUUUCUACGAUUUUCCAGGAGAGGAUUCCUCAGCCUAUCAUUUUCCAACAUGCAAGCAGGUGAAUUUCUCCGCAUAGCGAGCGUCUAGUCUAUUAGAAAAUAGCGAGGCUGUAGCAGCAAAUUAUCGAUUAUUAAAAUGUUUAAGAAGGAUUUUUGACAGAAGAACGAAAUCUUAUUAUCAUGGAUUCAGAUACAUCCAGACAAUUGAAGACGAGAGCCCACACAGUGUAUCAAGAAUUCAUUCAGGUUUAAUUAUCAGGCAUGCGAUAAUUGGGUUCAUUGGACGCACAAAAUACUCCUUGAGGAGAGGAGGAAUGCUUCGAGUAGUUAAUGAACGAUUAGUAGCGUGCGAUUGAAAGCAAAAUACCGUGAGAGAGACUACAAUCCUCGAAUAAGAGAAGACAGGAGAAGAAGGAAGAUGAAGAGAAGACGCCGCGGUCAUGAAGGCGGUACUUUCACUCGGCAGUGUGUCGAGGAUGUGCACGCUCGUGAACUUGCCACGAUCAGCGUAAAAAGCUUCGACGAUACGAGUAAAGAGCUCGAGUUUUGUCACGUGUGAGCUCUGGAUCCGUCGAGGAUCUCCGGCACGACGCGUUUCACCGCGUUCAUGCCGAACUGUUUGAAAAGCGAAACUUUUCUUGGAUCAAGUUCUUACAAUUAAACUUGAGGUCAAUUAUCAUUAGAAAUGUAGCUUAUAAUUUAUAAAUUAUACGUGCGAGAGCAAGAUGAUCAGAGUUCCAGGAUAGAAAAGAAAGAAAUGAUUCAUAUUUCGAGCAGGUCGAAACAGAAACGCGGAAACGCUGUCACGUGAAAGCGCGUUUUCAGUGUCGCCAAGUACGCGCCGAUUAUACAACCGAGUCCUUGGCGUUGAAUAAUGCAUAGGUCCGGCAAGAAGAUGCAACGAAUCGAGCGAGGUGCAAUUAACUUGCAACGUACAGUGGUACGCGACGAAACGCGUCGCGGUGCAACGAGUGAAAGUCGAGGAUGACAGCUUUGUAAUGAACGUUGAAGGAACGUCCUCGUUCGGAACAAUUUGCUGGAUGAGCCAUGUAACUGGACGGACCUCCGUGAUCGAUUUCCUCCGAUGAGGGCUCGAUGGAAAGCGAUCGAAAGAAAUCGUUCAUGAGAAAGAGUUCAAGGAUGUGAUAUAAGAUUUGAAAUCAGAUGGUAUUCGAGUUGAAGACAAAAUUGAUGUCUGCUUUUUAUCUUGAUGAAAUGAUCAAUGAAGAGUUGAUAUUGGGUCACGCGUCAUCGUCGAACAGAGAAAAAACUUUCUUCUCGGAGGAUCGAAAAGAUGCCACCUGCUUAAGGUACAACGAACCCAUCGCAUAGAAUAUCCACACCCAAAUCGAGGCUCUUUGUAAAAUCGUUUAUUUUCAAGAGACACAGUCAUUCGUCUUUGUCUACCUUGGGCGAUACAAAUCAGCUGUACUGUUCCCAGUUCAUUUGUCAAUACACAAUAAAAGUGUGUUAAUGCGUGAAACACACGGUAAUUGCUUCGGAAAUUGUUCAAAGCUAAUUUGGAAAUUGCGUGGAAGAGCGGAGUCAUUAAGAAGACUUUAGAAGCACCGAGAGAAUGACAAAAUUAGAGAAGAGAGAAGAAAAGGAUACCGUUUCUGUGCCAGCGGUGUUUCAUUUUAAUUCAAGGCAAGUUCAUUAACUCUGGAAAGCUGCCGUAUCAUUGAAUUCUCAAAAAAACUAGAAACGUAUCAAAUCCAGACUGUUAGCACGUUCCAUAUUUAAUUUUAAUAGCAAUUAAUUGCUCCAGUGAGAGACACGCUCUUGUACCACAUAACAAAUAGGUUGCUGGAAUGAAGGAAAGAAUUAAUUCGCUCCGUUAACGAUGUUCUCUUCAAAGUAGGCAAGAGUCGAGCAAAUGGAUCGUUAAAAUGAAAUGAAUUUCCGCGGCUACAGGAACAACGUGGUAAGAGGGAAAGAGUUCAAAGGAAAGCGGUACGAUGACCGAAAGAAAGUUUUUAAUGAUAAAGGAAUCUUGUUGGAAGCAACGAAAUUAAGAAGAUUUAGAGAUUCAAGAAUAAUAGCAAUGGAAAAAAGAAAAGGGAAAAUGUGUAUCAAAGGUAACAAUGAUGUUGAAAAGGAAAUGCCUUCGUACACCUGUGAAUACCUGAAUCGGGGGCCCCACAAACACGGGAGAAGAAAGUCGCCUGCACACAGAAUGCUCAUCGGGAACUUCUUCUGGGUAGAAAUCUGAAUUUUUCCAGCAUUGAGUCGCACGGCACAACUAACUUUCGAUUGCCGACGCGUCCGCAGGAUUUAUAAGUACGUUUCUCGACAACAACAUGCUACAGGAUCUAAAAGAUUAUCUAUCAGGAGAAACUUACUUCUACCAUCCUGAACCAGCACGUGUAAGGUACACAAUGGAAGAAUAUCUAUUAUCUUUUCACUCGAACACUUUUCACUUGUAGCGACUGAUUUUCACUGUCACACGGUUUACACGAAUGGAAGAAUCAUCACCGUUGGAAAGACAGGUGCAACAGAGGUUGAGUGAAGGAAACCAGAGGUGAUAGUGAAAAAGAAAGAGAAACUUGUCGGUGAAGUGGUACAAUGAAUGAGUGGUUUCGUACUCACCAAGCUCAUGAUGCUGUCUGUGCCCACGCUCGGUUAGCACGCGGCUUUUACUCAGGAAGAUCAUCUUCAAGUAGUGAUAGUUUUAAGGAAGAGGAGGGAGGGGUCUGCGAUGUUGAUACACGUGUAUAGCGCAUACCAACGUGAAACGUUUCUUUCGCUAUUUUCCAUACCUAUUCGAUAGACAUUUAGCGGCCCAUUUUCGUGCAAUGCUUGUUAUUUCUGCAUUAUUAUUGUGAAUGGAACACGAAUUUAUCAAUCAAAUUCUUGCAAAUGUUAGAUAUUGUUAUUUUCAUGCGAUUUUUCGUUGAUCAUUGUUUUAGAUAUAUUUUGAACAUAUUCUAUUUUAAAUAUUGGCGUAGUUAAUAGUUUAGAGACUUUCGAUUGUGAAAUUUAGUUCAUUUAAAUUCAAAUUCUUGUAUUGUAGACGAGAAGAAAAUUUGUCAUACGAAGGAAAGUAUUCGGGAAAGUAUUGCUAAACGAUUAUGCAAAUAUUUGAAGUGACGGAAGCGCAGACGGUUUCUUAUGAAUCCAUCAAUUUCUAUAAGAAAAAAAAUAUUAAGAAAGUUUUAAGGCGGCUGCUAUUUACAUAUUUUCAGUACAAAUAACAAAAAGAUGUUACAUUUAAAAAAAAUAUAUUAAAAAAGAUAAUAUGUAAUACAGAGAAGUUGAAAUACCAUUGUACCUAAAUGAUGCAUUAAAUAAUAAAGUUCUCAUUUCCAUUUUUAAAA